rnacentral:lncRNA from 1 species
GCAUCUUGAGAUGUACAUGUAUCUUAGGAACCAACUUCAAAUUAAAACACACAGCAGAGGUAAUCAAGCUAUUGAACUGCUCUCAUAGAACAUAGCAUGGAAAGCUUCUUUCUGAACAGGAAAACCCAGCUUCACAUACAAUUUCAUGUUAAAGCUUUGAAAACCCAUAUUACAAAGGUGGUGAAAAUUGGUUACCUUCAUUCCCAUAAUUCUGUUUUUGUCUAAGUUAAUUUUUUGUUCUUUUGCUCAGCAGAAUUGUCUAGGUUAAUUGAGAAUGUGUUUACAUAUUAUUAUUCCUAGCAUAAAAAAAAGGAGAAGGAUAGCAUAUCUUUUCUUCUUGCCACAGACAACAACUCUUUUUUGUUUUUUUUUGGCCAUAGACAGACAGCAGCUCCUUUGAUUCACCUUUCUGUUAUAUUCCCUGGAAACAUCAAGAUCAUCCAUGCAUGCAUAUUGUUAAAACAAAACAUAAAACUUUUGAGCUUUGAAGAUAGAGCAAGUUUGAUUAAAAAAGGAAACCAAAAAAAAAAAUUAAGGAGCUAGAAAGUAGUAUAGCUUUUGUUGGAAUGCCUUGGUGAAAGUAGCAAGGAGCAGACUAUAUUCAAAUUAUCAUGGAAUUACUAUAAAAUUUCGUGCAGGAAAGCCAAAUUAUGAGCUUUGAAUUCUAAUGAUGAAAAAAUUUGGAAAAAAAUCAUGGGGCAAGAUUGAAGUAUAUUCCACGGGCUAGGCCAUAACUGGGAUGAAAUUAAAAAAUUUAAAACUCCCGUUUUAUUGAUACUUACUCACUUUUUGCUAUUUAUUUUUUUUUAUUUUUUUAAAAAAGUUGCUUAAAAUAAAAUCAUAAAUUCUGAUGUUUAAAAUUAUUACUUAUUUUAUCUAUAAUCCGUUAAAACUAAAUGUUAUUUAAUUUAUUUUUACAUUCAAAUGAGAAUUUUACAUGUUUGCUUCGAAAAUUAAGAAGAAUGUAACAAAGCAUCAACCAACCAAAUUAGAUUAGAAUUAAAAUUUUGGAAAACACAAAGUUGAAAAUAAGUAUAGAAAGACAGAGAGUGCCAUCUGCAAUGCGUUCUAGUUUCACAAAAAUCUGGUGUUGGGAUGUGGGUUUAAGGCAUCAAGGAAUGCUGAUGAUGCUAACCUUGCAUUCAAAAUAGUCAAAUUCUGGAGAUGUAUCUUGUUGUGAAGUUUUGCUCCCUUGGCCUCUUCCACAUGGAAAGUAUUUCCCACCAGCUUCACCUUGAGUUCUUCACGAAGGAGGCCCAAGUUUUCCAAAUCUCCAACACUGAAUUUUUUAGGGUCCUUGCUUCCUUGAGCGAUGAUACAAUCUAAUUCCCGAAGACAAUUUAAUCUGGCAACCCCUUUUGGAUAGUGCUUUAGGUUCCCACAAUUCGAAGUAAUAAGAUACCUCAAGUUGAUCAGUUUCCCUAUACCAUCCGGUAGUUUCUCAAGAAAAACACAACCCAACACACUCAAGAACUGCAAAUUACGCAAUUCACACACUUCUUCAGGCAAUCUUUUUGGGGAACGUGAAGACAACUUAAGGAAUCUCAAAUGAAUCA